rnacentral:rRNA from 1 species
CAGCCGCCGCGGUAAUACCGGCGGCCCGAGUGGCGGUCACUAUUAUUGGGCUUAAAGCGUCCGUAGCCGGGUUGGGAAGUCCUCCGGGAAAUCUGGCCGCUUAACGGUCAGAAUGCCGGAGGAUACUCCCAGCCUAGGGAGCGGGGGAGGCCGAGGGGAUUCCCGGAGUAGGGGGGAAAUACUAUAAUCCCGGGAGGACCACCUGUGGCGAAGGCGCUCGGCUGGAACGCGUCCGACGGUGAGGGACGAAGGCCAGGGGAGCAAACCGGAUUAGAUACCCGGGUAGUCCUGGCUGUAAACGAUGCGGACUUUGUGUCGGACAAGCUAUGAGCUUGUCCGGUGCCGGAGGGAAACCGUUAAGUCCGCCGCCUGGGGAGUACGGCCGCAAGGCUGAAACUUAAAGGAAUUGGCGGG